GCCCGGUUAGCUCAAUCGGUAGAGCGUGAGACUCUUACCAGAAAUUAAAUCUCAAGGUUGCGGGUUCGACCCCCGCAUCGGGCU
rnacentral:tRNA from 1 species